AAAUAUCAACUCCUUCUCCCACCUCUGAGCUCCCCCUUUUCUCAAAAGAGAGGGGGAGACAAGCUCUUUCCCUCUUCCCCUUUCCAUGCCUUUCUCCACCGUUCCCCCCUCCCCGUUGUAGGUUGUUGUCUUAGAUCCUCACCCGCAACUCUCUAUCUCUCCACUUCUCUUCGUCUCCUGAAGCUUAUUCGAAUCUUUCCCAUUUCUUUUAUGGUCGUGAUUCCGUUGCUCUUUUUCAGGUUCAGAGGAGGGAAAGAGAGCUUUUCGCCACUUCUCCUUGUCGCCGUAUGGCCUCGCCCGCAGAUCAAGAAGCUUUCUCAAUUCCAUUCUGAGUUGCUUCCAGAUUUAACCUAUUUUCUUCCUGUUCGAGGAUAGAAAACUAGGGAUUUAAUCUAGAAAGGGAAAUCAGGAGGUUAUAUCGUCGGAUGACAAAUGUAAUUGAUACGGACACACAGUUGGUGGAGAAACGUAUUGUAAGCGAACUGAAGGUUGAAGAGCAGAUCGACGCCGACGACUCUAUGGAGAUGACAAUCGUCGACCGUGAGCUGGGGAAGAGGGCGUGAACCAGACCGCGCGGUUAUUCUGAAUUUGAAGUCGAUUGGGCUGGACAUUGAAUGGGCCUUGGGCCACUGCUAGAUUAAAUAAGAAUAAUGUUAAUUGUAAUUCAAUUAAGACUAUUUAGUAUAAAUAGCUGUAAUGACUCUAAUUAGGGCAUCCAAAUUUUAAUCAAGAAAUUAGUUGCUGCUAUUUUCCAAGGUCGUGAACCACGACCAAGUUUCAGUUAGGGUACUGCAGAUCUCUAUUUUCUGGAUUUUGUUUAUGCAGG
rnacentral:lncRNA from 1 species